GGAGAGGUGGCAGAGCGGUUGAAUGCGACGGUCUUGAAAACCGUUAUGGGCUCACACCCAUCGGGGGUUCGAAUCCCUCCCUCUCCG
rnacentral:tRNA from 1 species